rnacentral:misc_RNA from 1 species
AACUGAUACUACCUGCGGGAACCUGCGGAGGGAUCAUUAAUGAAUCAAAAAGUCGGUGGACUGUGCUGGCGCUCCUGCAUGUGCACGUCCAUUGGCGAUCAUCCACACACCUUGUGCACCCCUAGACCAACAGAGGUUUGUUGAGACUCUGGUCUUGACUUAAGCAUUUCUGUUGGUAUUUUUACACACACACGUAUGUGAUCAGAAUGUUGAUAGUGCUUUAGCACUGAUAAAAAUGUA